rnacentral:rRNA from 1 species
AGUGAACGCUGGCGGUAGGCCUAACACAUGCAAGUCGAACGGCAGCACAGUAAGAGCUUGCUCUUACGGGUGGCGAGUGGCGGACGGGCGAGGAAUACAUCGGAAUCUACUUUUUCGUGGGGGAUAACGUAGGGAAACUUACGCUAAUACCGCAUAUGACCUACGGGUGAAAGCAGGGGAUCUUCGGACCUUGCGCGAUUGAAUGAGCCGAUGUCGGAUUAGCUAGUUGGCGGGGUAAAGGCCCACCAAGGCGACGAUCCGUAGCUGGUCUGAGAGGAUGAUCAGCCACACUGGAACUGAGACACGGUCCAGACUCCUACGGGAGGCAGCAGUGGGGAAUAUUGGACAAUGGGCGCAAGCCUGAUCCAGCCAUACCGCGUGGGUGAAGAAGGCCUUCGGGUUGUAAAGCCCUUUUGUUGGGAAAGAAAAGCAGCAGGUUAAUACCCCGCUGUUCUGACGGUACCCAAAGAAUAAGCACCGGCUAACUUCGUG